rnacentral:rRNA from 1 species
GACGUAGGAUGCGAGCGUUAUCCGGAUUUACUGGGCGUAAAGCGCGUGUAGGCGGUUUGGUAAGUUGGAUGUGAAAGCUCCUGGCUUAACUGGGAGAGGUCGUUCAAUACUGCCGAACUAGAGGAUGGUAGAGGGAGGUGGAAUUCCGAGUGUAGUGGUGAAAUGCGUAGAUAUUCGGAGGAACACCAGUGGCGAAAGCGGCCUCCUGGACCAUUUCUGACGCUCAGACGCGAAAGCUAGGGUAGCAAACGGG